rnacentral:lncRNA from 1 species
UAAGAUUUUUUUUCCAGUUAAAUUGAUAUGUGAAUGCAUGAUUGAGUUUGUUUUGUCUAUUAUCCAUAUUUUGUAUUAAUGAACUUUAGUUAUUGGGUUAUUAGUGGACUUUAACUUGACUGGGUACAUAAAAAUUAAACGAAAGGUUAACUGAACUAAAAAAGAAAAAAAAAAGGUUAUUUUAUUGUUUUUCUCUCAGCCGACUAAACCUAAUUUUCUUCUUUCUUUCACUAUUUCAUCCACCCGUAUUCUUUUUUCAUCACCUCACCUUCGUCUUCACCUCCUCACCGUAUCUUCUUCAUCACCUAAUCUCCCUUUUCAUCUCAUCCAUCUUUCUUUUAACCACCUCACCUUCUUCUUUACCACCUGACCCCAUCUUCUUCUUCACCACCUAAUCUCCCUUUUCAUCUAAUUAUGUUUCGUCGUUCACUUUCUUCUUUUCUGUUUUACUUGAUAAAUUAGGAUUUGAUUUACAGUUCAUCAACAUAAAGUGACAGUAUUUUAUCUGUUUGGUUCAAUUAUAUAGAUAUUUUUCAGUCUGAAAAAAAAACAGAAAACAGUUUAACUUAAUCGAUUUUUUCCAGAUUUACCUAAUUCGCAGGCUUAGAUGUAAUCUUUAGGAGUUUUUGACGGAAAAAAAAGUUUGUUUGGAUUAAAAAAAUGCUUGGAUUACAGAUGUGAUCUGUCUCAGUUUUUUUGGUUGGAGAAAAGGUUGGAUGGUGGCUCAGAAAAUAAUUUUCAAUAACUCAUUUAAUAAAAAC